CCGCUGGGUAGCUACGUAUGGAUUAGAUAAUCGCUGAAAGCAUCUAAGUGAGAAACUAACCUCGAGAUGAGAUUUCCCAUUCGUCAGAAGUAAGACCCCUGCGAGCCGAUCAGGUAGAUAGGCUAGAAGUGGAAGUGUAGUGAUGCAUGGAGCGGACUAGUACUAAUAGGUCGAGGACUUAACCAAG
rnacentral:rRNA from 1 species